rnacentral:rRNA from 1 species
GCACGAGAUUAGCCGGCCCUUCCUCCUAGGAUCGGUCAAGUUCUGCUCUUCGCAGACCCUUCCUCCCCUACGACAGCGGUUUACAACCCGAAGGCCUUCAUCCCGCACGCGGUGUCGCUCGGUCAGGCUUGCGCCCAUUGCCGAAGAUUCUCGACUGCAGCCACCCGUAGGUGUCUGGGCAGUAUCUCAGUCCCAGUGAGUGGGGGCACGCUCUCACGCCCCAUACCCGUUUUUGCCUUGGUAGGCCGUUACCCCACCAACAAGCUGAUAGGCCACAGGCCCCUCCCCAGGUGGAAUCACACCUUUGGUCCGGAGACAUUAUCUGGUAUUACCGGCAGUUUCCCGCCGCUAUCCCAGACCCGGGGGUAGGUACCUAUGUAUUACUCUCCCUUUCGCCGCUCUCCAUGUAUUGCUACAUUUCGCGCACGACUUGCAUGCCUAAUCCACACCGCCAACGUUCAUU